rnacentral:tRNA from 1 species
GGGGUCUUAAUUUAAGUGUAAAAUAUAUGGCUUGCAUUCAUAAAAUUUAGACUCUA